GUAGUCCACGCCGUAAACGAUGAAUGCUAAGUGUUGGAGGGUUUCCGCCCUUCAGUGCUGCAGCUAACGCAAUAAGCAUUCCGCCUGGGGAGUACGACCGCAAGGUUGAAACUCAAAGGAAUUGACGGGGGCCCGCACAAGCGGUGGAGCAUGUGGUUUAAUUCGAAGCAACGCGAAGAACCUUACCAGGUCUUGACAUCUUUUGACAAUCCUAGAGAUAGGACUUUCCCUUCGGGGACAAAAUGACAGGUGGUGCAUGGUUGUCGUCAGCUCGUGUCGUGAGAUGUUGGGUUAAGUCCCGCAACGAGCGCAACCCUUAUUGUUAGUUGCCAGCAUUAAGUUGGGCACUC
rnacentral:rRNA from 1 species